GCCGCGUUCGUCUAGUGGCCCAGGACAUCGGGUUCUCAUCCCGAAAAUCAGGGGUUCAAAUCCCCUACGCGGUA
rnacentral:tRNA from 1 species